AACGAACGCUGGCGGCAUGCCUAACACAUGCAAGUCGAACGAGACCUUCGGGUCUAGUGGCGCACGGGUGCGUAACGCGUGGGAACCUGCCUUUAGGUUCGGAAUAACUCAGAGAAAUUUGAGCUAAUACCGGAUGAUGUCUUCGGACCAAAGAUUUAUCGCCUUUGGAUGGGCCCGCGUUGGAUUAGCUAGUUGGUGGGGUAAAGGCCUACCAAGGCGACGAUCCAUAGCUGGUCUGAGAGGAUGAUCAGCCACACUGGGACUGAGACACGGCCCAGACUCCUACGGGAGGCAGCAGUGGGGAAUAUUGGACAAUGGGCGAAAGUCUGAUCCAGCAAUGCCGCGUGAGUGAUGAAGGCGUUAGGGUUGUAAAGCUCUUUUACCCGAGAUGAUAAUGACAGUAUCGGGAGAAUAAGCUCCGGCUAACUCCGUG
rnacentral:rRNA from 1 species